rnacentral:rRNA from 1 species
CCUACGGGUGGCUGCAGUGGGGAAUAUUGGACAAUGGGGGGAACCCUGAUCCAGCCAUGCCGCGUGUGUGAAGAAGGCCCUCGGGUUGUAAAGCACUUUCAGUGAGGAAGAACGCCUGGUGGUUAAUACCCAUCAGGAAAGACAUCACUCACAGAAGAAGCACGGCUAACUCCGUGCCAGAGCCGCGGUAAUACGGAGGGUGCGAGCGUUAAUCGGAAUUACUGGGCGUAAAGCGCGCGUAGGUGGCUUGAUAAGCCGGUUGUGAAAGCCCCGGGCUCAACCUGGGAACGGCAUCCGGAACUGUCAAGCUAGAGUGCAGGAGAGGAAGGUAGAAUUCCCGGUGUAGCGGUGAAAUGCGUAGAGAUCGGGAGGAAUACCAGUGGCGAAGGCGGCCUUCUGGACUGACACUGACACUGAGGUGCGAAAGCGUGGGUAGCAAACAGGAUUAGAUACCCCGGUAGUC